GCAAGAAUGAAAAUCAAAGGAAUUGACGGGGGUCCGCACAAGCGGAGGAGUAGGUGGUGGAAUUAGAUGAUAAACGAGGAACCUUGCCUGGGCUAGAAUGAUGGGAGGCCGUGGGUGAAAGCUCAGUUUAUAGCAAUACACAGCCAGUAAAAUGAUGCGUGGAGGUUGUCAGCUAAUUACGUGAGGUAAUGGGUGAAGUCCCGCAACGAGCGCAACCCCUAUCAUUAGUUGCCAACAGGUUAAGCUGGGAACUCUAAUGAAACUGCCGCCGUAAGGUGUGAGGAAGGAGGGGAUGAUGUCAAGUCAUCAUGGCCUUUAUGCCCAGGGCUACACACGUACUGCAAUGGGGGAGACAAAGGGCUGCAACAUAGCGAUAUGAAGCCAAUCCCAAAAACUCCCUCUCAGUUCAGAUUGCAGGCUGCAGCUCGCGUGCAUGAAGCUGGAUUCGCUAGUAAUCGUAUAUCAGCAAUGAUACGGUGAAUACGUUCCCGGACCUUGCACACACCGCCCGUCAAGCCAUGGGAGUCGGGUGUACCUAAAGUCGGUAACCGAGAGAAGCUGCCUAGGGUAAAAUCGAUGACUGGGGCUAAGUCGUAACAAG
rnacentral:rRNA from 1 species